UCCCAGGCGGGCCCUUUAGAGUUUGGAUUCUGGCUCAGGACGAACGCUGGCGGCGUGCUUAACACAUGCAAGUCGAACGAUGAACUCCAGCUUGCUGGGGGGAUUAGUGGCGAACGGGUGAGUAACACGUGAGUAACCUGCCCUUGACUCUGGGAUAAGCGCUGGAAACGGCGUCUAAUACCGGAUACGAGCUUCAGCCGCAUGGCUAGGAGUUGGAAAGAAUUUCGGUCAAGGAUGGACUCGCGGCCUAUCAGCUAGUUGGUGAGGUAAUGGCUCACCAAGGCGACGACGGGUAGCCGGCCUGAGAGGGUGACCGGCCACACUGGGACUGAGACACGGCCCAGACUCCUACGGGAGGCAGCAGUGGGGAAUAUUGCACAAUGGGCGCAAGCCUGAUGCAGCAACGCCGCGUGAGGGACGACGGCCUUCGGGUUGUAAACCUCUUUUAGUAGGGAAGAAGCGAAAGUGACGGUACCUGCAGAAAAAGCACCGGCUAACUACGUGCCAGCAGCCGCGGUAAUACGUAGGGUGCAAGCGUUGUCCGGAAUUAUUGGGCGUAAAGAGCUCGUAGGCGGUUUGUCGCGUCUGCUGUGAAAUCUGGGGGCUCAACCCCCAGCCUGCAGUGGGUACGGGCAGACUAGAGUGCGGUAGGGGAGAUUGGAAUUCCUGGUGUAGCGGUGGAAUGCGCAGAUAUCAGGAGGAACACCGAUGGCGAAGGCAGAUCUCUGGGCCGUAACUGACGCUGAGGAGCGAAAGCAUGGGGAGCGAACAGGAUUAGAUACCCUGGUAGUCCAUGCCGUAAACGUUGGGAACUAGAUGUGGGGACCAUUCCACGGUCUCCGUGUCGCAGCUAACGCAUUAAGUCCCCGCCUGGGA
rnacentral:rRNA from 1 species